UGCUCACUGGCUACUUGUUCACAUGACA
rnacentral:piRNA from 1 species